CCUACGGGAGGCAGCAGUGAGGAAUAUUGGUCAAUGGAAGAGAUCCUGAACCAGCCAAGCCGCGUGAGGGAAGACGGCCCUCUGGGUUGUAAACCUCUUUUGUCGGAGAACAAAACCCGGGACGUGUCCCGGACUGCGUGUAUCCGAAGAAAAAGCAUCGGCUAACACCGUGCCAGCAGCCGCGGUAAUACGGUGGGUGCGGGCGUUAUCCGGUUUUAUUGGGUUAAAAGGGUGCGUAGGCGGUCCAUUAAGUCAGCGGUAAAAUUGCGGGGCUCAACCCCGUAGGGCAGUUGAAACUGGCAGACUUGAGUUGGCGAGAGGUACGCGGAAUGCGCGGUGUAGCGGUGAAAUGCAUAGAUAUCGCGAAGAACUCCGAUUGCGAAGGCAGCGUACCGGAGCCAGACUGACGCUGAGGCACGAAAGCGUGGGGAUCGAACAGGACUAGAUACCCUGGUAGUC
rnacentral:rRNA from 1 species